GAAAGUUAAAAUUUUAGAACUUCUAAUUCUAUUAAUAGCAUUUUAUUAUGUUAAACUUUUA
rnacentral:tRNA from 1 species